rnacentral:rRNA from 1 species
CCUACGGGAGGCAGCAGUGGGGAAUAUUGCACACUGGGGGGAACCCUGAUGCCGCGACGCCGCGUGAGUGAAGAAGUAUUUCGGUAUGUAAAGCUCUAUCAGCAGGGAAGAAAAUGACGGUACCUGACUAAGAAGCCCCGGCUAACUACGUGCCAGCAGCCGCGGUAAUACGUAGGGGGCAAGCGUUAUCCGGAUUUACUGGGUGUAAAGGGAGCGCAGACGGCUGUGCAAGUCUGGAGUGAAAGGGGGGGGCCCAACCCCCGGACUGCUCUGGAAACUGUAAAGCUGGAGUGCAGGAGAGGUAAGCGGAAUUCCUAGUGUAGCGGUGAAAUGCGUAGAUAUUAGGAGGAACACCAGUGGCGAAGGCGGCUUACUGGACUGCAACUGACGUUGAGGCUCGAAAGCGUGGGGAGCAAACAGGAUUAGAUACCCGGGUAGUC